AGAGCGAACGCUGGCGGCAGGCCUAACACAUGCAAGUCGAGCGCCCGUAGCAAUACGGGAGCGGCAGACGGGAGAGUAACACGUGGGAACGCGCCCUUCGGUUCGGAAUAACUCAGGGAAACUUGAGCUAAUACCGGAUACGCCCUUACGGGGAAAGAUUUAUUGCCGAAGGAACGGCCCGCGUCCGAUUAGCUAGUUGGUGGGGUAAUGGCUCACCAAGGCGACGAUCGGUAGCUGGUCUGAGAGGAUGACCAGCCUCACUGGGACUGAGACACGGCCCAGACUCCUACGGGAGGCAGCAGUGGGGAAUAUUGGACAAUGGGCGCAAGCCUGAUCCAGCCAUGCCGCGUGGAUGAUGAAGGCCUUAGGGUUGUAAAGUCCUUUUAACGGGAAGAUAAUGACGGUACCGUAGAAUAAGCCCGGCUAACUUCGUGCCAGCAGCCGC
rnacentral:rRNA from 1 species